UUUUGGAUUAGACCAACCGGCUAACUCAAACAUAUCCAGGUUAGGUUGAACCGGCUUCGUAGUAUACCCCCCAGGAAAAAGUGUUAGCACAAUUGUACAUACUACUGUAAAUAGUAAUACUGUGUGUGUGUGUGUCAGAAACCAGGAAGACUGCGAGCGGCAUCAUCUACACGGUGCAGCACCCAGAGGCUCCGCCCACAAAGACACCUGGAGACACAGGUGACCCUCCUGCAGCCAAGAGAGCCAAGCCUGAUGCGUGAUUGACAGCUGAGGGGCGGGACUAAGUGAUUUAUUGUUCUAGACAUCCCUGAAUGAUCUCUUUGCAUUGAAUGUUUCUCAUGUGUUUUGUGAAUAAAGUUUUAUUUCUUUAUUGAA